UACGAAGGGGGCUAGCGUUGCUCGGAAUUACUGGGCGUAAAGCGCACGUAGGCGGAUUGUUAAGUCGGGGGUGAAAUCCUGGAGCUCAACUCCAGAACUGCCUUCGAUACUGGCGAUCUCGAGUCCGGGAGAGGUCGAGUGGAACUGCGAGUGUAGAGGUGAAAUUCGUAGAUAUUCGCAAGAACACCAGUGGCGAAGGCGGCUCACUGGCCCGGUACUGACGCUGAGGUGCGAAAGCGUGGGGAG
rnacentral:rRNA from 1 species